AUACGAAGGGGGCGAGCGUUAUUCGGAAUUAUUGGGCGUAAAGGGCUCGCAGGCUGCUUGAACAGUUAGACGUGAAAUCCCCGGGCUCAACCUGGGAACUGCGUUUAAUACUAGCAAGCUAGAGAAAUAGAGAGGAAAGUGGAACUCCCAGUGUAGAGGUGAAAUUCGUAGAUAUUGGGAAGAACACCAGUGGCGAAAGCGACUUUCUGGCUAUUUUCUGACGCUGAGGAGCGAAAGCGUGGGGAGCGAACAGGAUUAGAUACCCUGGUAGUCCACGCCCUAAACGAUGCUUACUCGAUGUUUGUAUUAAUAUGAGCAUCCAAGGGAAACCGUUAAGUAAGCCACCUGGGGAGUACGUUCGCAAGAAUGAAACUCAAAAGGAAUUGACGGGGUCCGCACAAGCGGUGGAGCAUGUGGUUUAAUUCGAUGAUACGCGAGGAACCUUACCUAGGCUCUAAUGUUAGCGCAAUCUGGUGAAAGCCGGAGUUCCUUCGGGACGCGAAACAAGGUGCUGCAUGGUUGUCGUC
rnacentral:rRNA from 1 species